rnacentral:lncRNA from 1 species
UAAGUGUUAUGUUACAUCAUUCGGAGCCUUGAAAACCACAGUUUAGGUUUUCCUAUAAGUUCCUAAGUAAAGAAAAUGCCCUGGCAAAAUGAUCCAAGAGUUAGCUACAUUCUCAUUUGAAAGACUGGAAGAAAAGUGAAAUCAGGAACCAUCUGAGGUUGAGACCACAUCUUUUGUAGGAAGUAUGAGGCUUUUCUGCCUUUUUCCUUCCAUCAAUCCUUCUAGCAGUGGGGAAAACAGAAAACAAGACGACAACAAAAGAGAGGACUACUUCACAGUUGGCUUCAGACCAGUCCUGCCCCAGACUCAGGGCUCCAUUCUCAAAUUAAUGGUCUGCCCACAUGCUUCAUUCUUUACAAAUUCCCCAAAUUCACUUAACACAGUUAAAAAUCUCCAGCUGAGUUUCCAUCAGCACUCUCUGUGGAAGGAUACCAAAUGAAAGUGAAACUGUGCAUGUCUGGCCCCAUGAAGGGUGAAAUAUUCAGAAAACGUAUUGGACAUUUCAAAUACCUUCCAUUUUCUGCUGAGGCAGCUGACUUGCUGGGAACAUGUUCUCUGAGAAGUAAAAAGUUAAGUACUCUAUUCCAAAUCCUCAGUGGGGCAGUGAGCUUGACAGAACAUCAACUAGAGGAAGCCAAUUAGUGUACUUUUUACCAUGACAACCGUGCAUCUUCCUAAGAAAUCAGUGGGGCUCAUGCACUGAAGGGGGAGAAGGAGAAGAAUGUCAAAGAAAUGUGCUGGCUUUGAAAGACCCCUUUUUGAAAUGAGCCAAUAUUAUUUUCUUGAAAUGUCUAGAAAUGGAGAAUUAGUCCUUUCAAUGACAUGACAUUCGUUUAGCUCAUGCACGCAUAGUUUCUGGAUGGAGGAAAGGAUUAGCAAGAGCAGGAGUCUGAGAAAGUACCCCAAUUAUAUACACAGUUUAUACACCACCUGGAGUGGAUGGCAUUAGGACAGGAAAGAUACAAACACAUGUCUGCAAAGAUCACUCAGUAGAAGAGAUGCAGGCACAUCACUGAAAUUUUAAUACACGAAAUAAAAGACAUUAUCUUCAUUCAUGAAUUACCAUCUUUGCUAAAUAAAUUUCCAUAUCUCAAAAGCUCUCUUCUCCCCUCCCAAUCUAAAACUCAAGUUCUUAUACCUCCAUGAAGCCUUCUUUCCAAAAUCAUCCCAGGUUCCACUGAUCAAUCUUUUUUUCAGACCUUCUGUUAGAGUCCACACCACAUAGAUGAAUAUUGGAUUCUAUAUUAUUUAUAACACUAUUUAGUGUAUUUAUAUCAUAUUUCCCAUUGUGACAGUAAUUUCUUUAGGGACAUAUUUCUUCAGUACCCCAAAGUACUACAUAACAUCGGGUGAGAGUAAUACUGAGUGAAAAUGUACAUGGUGCUUGAUUGUUUAGAGUUCAUGGACCUGUGUCUAAUUUAAGGCUGACUAUUUGACCUUGAAAACUUAGUGCCUCUAUCAUUGCAGAAGGAAAUAAGAAUGCCUUACUACUAUGCUCUCUAUGAAAAAUAAAAGAGGAGACACACCAGUAGGCAGGAUUUUUCUACCAUUAUGGAUUUCCUCUCUGAAAAUCACUAGGAUGAUCAAGAAGAACAGGAUGAGUCAUCAUUUGCAAUCCAGUCCCAGUAGGUAUUUAUAGCCAACUCUAGAAAUAGCAUUCCCACCACUGUAUGCCUUAAUUCUCUUUCCUUCAAGGCUCAGCUUGGCUGUCACUUCAUCUAUGAUUCCUUCCUUGUUUCUCCACCCAGAAGGAUUCCCAUACUCUUCUGAACUACUAGAGCAUUUUAUCUUUCCUCCUUUCAUGACAUAUCACCUCCUGCCUUGUUCUGUAGUUCAUGUCCUUGUUUUCUAUCCCCUAGUAGACACACAGUGACAUAAUAGGUACACAAUACUACAAAUAGAUAAUACCUAUUGAGCUUUAUGUAUAUUUCUCUAUUUAGUACUCAAAGAAAGAGUUGAAAUAAAUACCAUUCACAUCUUAAUUUUACAAAUGGGAAACUGAGGCUCUGAAAGAUUAAGCAAUUUGCUCAGGAUCAUACAACUGAAUAGUGUCAUAUGUAGAAUGUGAUUUGAGAGUCAGUGUCUUAAUAUCUAUGCUAUAAUGACUCAAAAAAUUGUGAAUGAAGGAAGAAAGUAAUGCAAUGAAUUACAAAACAAAACUGUCUUACUUAAUAUAGGCUUUCCAGCCAUCUGUAUUUCUUUAGGCUGUGACUGAUCGAGGGUCUGGUGCUACCUAUUUGUAGAAUAAUCAGACCCAAUAUCAAAAGAGAUCAAAUUUAAGACUUUCAAUCUCACCUGUUAUUCAUGUAAGAAAGAGUCCUAGUUUACAUUUUCAGUCUCUCCCUGAUCUGCAAACUACCCAAAGUUCAUACCUGAAAAUUUUGCAUAAAUGUCCUGAAGAAAACAAUGGAAUUUUGGAACUACUCUCACUCUUUGGGCUGGGUGAUUAAGCUCUGGGCAAUGUGAGCUUACUAAGUUCAGCUAAAGUAACAUUAUCUUUCAUGAAAGUACUGAAAUAGAACCCACUAUCAGUGUUCAACCCUUGAGUCAGCAUAAGAUGGGUCCGGCCUAUACAUAUACCACAGUCAGUCUGUCAAAUAGCAGCAUUCACUGACUCAAUCAAAAGUGGUUAGUAACCAAGAGUACGCCCAUAAAUGUUCAUAUAGAAAAAUUUUUAAAGGUUUUUUAAAAAAAAAAAAAACUAUAAUAUUUUUGCCUUUAUCUGAAAUCCUGGCCCUCUAUGGCAGGCCCACUGUAGACCAUGAACAAUAUUCCUCUGAAUGUUCAAUGUGGAUAACUAGGAAAGAAUGCAAAUAUUGUUUCUCCUAAAAAGUUCUGUUAUCUGGCCAUUCCAUCAUAGAGUUAUGAACUAUGGAUGUAGUGUAGUGUUUCAGAGGAUAGAAUCUGAUGUCAGUCAGCAUGGAUUCAAAUCCUGGCACAACUAUCUUCCCCAAGUUACUUAAACACUCUCUGCCUCCAUUUUCUUAUUUCUAAAAUGAGAUAAUAAAAGCACUCACUUUUGGAAUUGUUAGGGUUAUACACACAAAACACUUAUUCCCGGCCACAAACAAGUGUUAUGUAAAUAUUAUUAUUUUAAUAUAUAAUGUUAAUACUCAAGAUCUACCCAGUGCAGUAGUUAUCAACCUGGGACAAUUUUACCUCUUGUUGCCAUUUAGCAAAGUAUGAGGACAUUUUUGAUUGUCACCAAAAAGUCUGGGGGAAGAGAUGCUAUGGCAUCCAGAAGUAAGAGUCCCGGGACAAUGUUCAACAUCCAAUAAUGUACAAAACAGACCCCUACAACAAAGAAUUAUCUGGCCCAAAAUAUUAAUAGUGCUGAGGCUGGGAAAACCUGGCAGAGAGGCAACCUCUAUUUUAAGAGAACUCAAUGGAACAAAACUCCAAAAGACAAAUGCCAAUAAAUAACAGGUGAUAAUUCCAUUUCAAAAGGCUUUCACCAAAGGGUCCUUUCAAUACCAGAACUCAAUACACUUAUGGGUGGCUUAUAGAUUAAUUACAGCUUCCUUCACAUAUUUAUAUAUUUUAUACGCAUAUGCCAAUGGGAAUGUUAUAAUCCAACACUAGUUAAUAUAUUUAAGGAAAACUAAGUCUAGAAAUAUUGUCAAUGAUUUCAUAAGGGAAAUAAGUUUUAAAAUUUUCAGUAUUUUUGGAUUUAGGCCUUCUUAAAGAAGUCGCCUAUUUGACAGGGAAGUGAGAAAGACAAAAACUUAAAGCUAAUAUCUUAUACCUUAAUGCCAAUUGAAGGCAAAGCACAUCUGAACCGAUAACACAAGUUAAAGAGGAAAGAGAGGGUUUGCAUCAACAUCUACUUCUCAGGAAUUGAUUAACUUAUAGAAUGAGGCACAUCUAUAAAGCCAAUUUUAAUUAUCUAGAUAUUGUCUUAUCUGCUCUAUGACUGGUUAUUAACUGAAUGAUUCAGCUAAUCUAGUCAAUGUGCUUGUAUGUGCUUGAGAUCUGUCAAUACAACAUCUGUUGAUCAAUGAAGAGAAAAAUCCACCAAACCACCCUUCUUUGCACUGUCUUGAUCUAGUUCCCUCAUGUCACCUCACCUCUUCCCAGACAAACCCAGAUAGCACAGUUAUAUGGAUUUUUAGGUUUUCUCCAAUUGUUUUGGCUUUAGGUUAAAAAAAAAAAAAACACCUUUGUCUCUAGAAUUUCUACUUACAGAACCACAGCUUGGCCUCUCUUCUUUAAGAUGAAUUGUAUGUCAUAUGUACCUACAGUACGCCCAGCACUGUAUAUUUUUUUUUUAAAAGCUUAAACCUAGAGGUAAAAAAUCAAGCUUAUUCACAUGAAAUAAUUAAAAGAUAAUUUGUGACAGUGUACAGUGAACCCUUGAACAAUGAGAGCAAUUUGUACAGUGGUCUUUGGAAUAAUACUGACAUGAGUUCAAAUCCCAGCACCACUAUUUGUUAGAUACUUAACUUUAAAUAAGUUACUCAACCUUUCUGAACCUCAGUAUUCCCAUCUCAUUGCACAAUUUUUCUUCAUUCUUUUGGAAUAUUCCUUCUGUUAAUGGUUGGUAAUCAUUUAAGCAGUACCUGAGAGCUAUUUUGGGUCUUCAACUGUUGUUAUACAGAUCCCUUAUACGUGAGAUCAUAAAAGAAAAUUUUUUUCUCAAGAGAGAUCAUUCAGGCAACUUCUGUUUAGCGUAUAUAAGGAUUUGAAUGCAACUCUUUAGGUAAUCAUUAACUGCAAGCCAUUGUUUUUAUUGUCAUUGGUGUUUUGUAGCUAUUCAGAAUAGAAGGAGAAGAGGAAAAGGGAAAAUAGGAAGAGGAAAAGAAGAAAAAAAAAGAGCAAAAGAAGGAAAUGGAGAAAGGUGAGGACUUACCUAGGAAAGAAUAGGAAAGGUAAUCCAGGCAAAAAGUACAGCAUAAAGAAAGACACAAAGGCAAGAAUGAGCAGGUUGAACAUAAAUUGACCAGUCUGAUUGUAUCACAAGGAACAUGUUGGGUGUAAUGAGACAUCUUUUGAUGUGCAAGGAGAAUAGCAAUAGUUACCUGCUACCAAGUAACUACUUCCCCUUUAGGGAGUCAAACUUUGAAAGACCGCAUGCCUACUCCUCUGUAUUUCCAACUGUUUUCCUUCUUUGCACCUUUGAAAAAGGCAAAUGCCCACUGAUUUUGGAAACACAUUCAAGACAUAACAGGCUCACCACCAGUCCUGGUCAGUGAAUUGAUUGCCCCAGGUACUUCUCCCUGGACUGGAAGGCAUUGGUUUCCCACUAUUCUAAACACUAUCUGCAAUUUCCAGUCACAGUAGGUUGGCCCAAUCCUCCUUGAAAUGUAUUACGAACAGAUGAGGUUCUUAGCAUCCUGGGUAAAAAGUAAGAGGCUAGAAUGUUUACAAACUGCCAGUCAACCCAUAAUGUCACCUACCUCCAAAUCAGCCAAAGCUGGCAAGGGUAUUUGAGUGAUCUCCCCAUAAUUCAGCAUUUCCUUUGCAUUUCAGGGAUUUUUUUCAAAAAAAAAAAAAUCUAACACAAUUAACUUUGUAUUUUGGUUCAUUUUCCAUUCAAAUUCCACCAAAUAGAAUAAAUUACCCCCAAAAAGGUUUUCAAUAGAUCUACUGCUGAGGGAGAAAGAAAGAAGAGGGAGAGAGGGAGGUGGAGGAGGAGGAAAGAAAGAGAGAAAGGAAGAGAAGCAGAAUGAGGAAGAACAAAUUUCAUACAUGAAUCAAUCUGAGGUUUUAUCUUAGGGAACUAAACAGAUAAUCCAAAAUUAAAUAAUUUCCCUCAGCUUAAAAUCCUACAUAAGCACUAAAUCCAGCACCCUGAGCAGGCUGCACAGAGUGGUUUGCGAAUAACAGAGAGCCACCUCCCAGCACAGGCUGCCCACCUUCAGUGCCUGGUCUGCUCUCAGUGCUUACCGAGCUGCCGAUUUCUUAAGAGAUGGACAGCCCGACUCUUCUGGUUACAGCAAAACUUCAGAUUCAAAUUGCAACAGAAUUGUUACUUGGUAAACUUGUCAGGCAAUGGAGUCUAUCUUUAGUACCUAUACCACCUCUUUAACCCACCUGUGCCUCCCAAAUUGCCACUCCACUGCCACCUGUGCAGUGCUCGCUCCUGUGAUGAAUUAGAAAAGUAUGAGGGCUUUGGGAGUUCCCAUCGCAGAGCAGUGGAAACAGAUCCAAGUAGGAACCAAGAGGUUGCAGGUUCAAUUCAUGGCCUCGCUCAGUGGGUUAAAGAUCCAGCGUUGCUGUGAGCUGUGGUGUAGGUCACAGACGCAGCUUGGAUCUGGCAUUGCUAUGACGUAGGCUGGCAGCUAUAGCUCCAAUUAGACCCCUAGCCUGGGAACCUCCAUAUGCCUCAGGUGUGGCC